rnacentral:rRNA from 1 species
GCACAAGCAGUGGAGUAUGUGGAUUAAUUCGAAGCAACGCGAAGAACCUUACCAGGUCUUGACAUCCGAUGCAUAGCGCAGAGAUGCGUGAAGUCCUUCGGGACAUCGAGACAGGUGGUGCAUGGUUGUCGUCAGCUCGUGUCGUGAGAUGUUGGGUUAAGUCCCGCAACGAGCGCAACCCUUAUGGUCAGUUACUACGCAAGAGGACUCUGGCCAGACUGCCGUUGACAAAA